rnacentral:rRNA from 1 species
CCCUUAGAUGUUCUGGGCCGCACGCGUGCUACACUGAGUGGAUCAGCGGGUCAGGUUGCGCGAAAGUGUUUCCUAAUCUUGAAAUCCGCUCGUGAUGGGGAUUGACGGUUGCAAUUUUCCGUCAUGAACGAGGAAUACCUUGUAAGCGCGGGUCAUCAUCCCGCGCUGAAUACGUCCCUGCCCUUUGUACACACCGCCCGUCGCUCCUACCGAUUGAGUGGUCCGGUGAGGCUUUGGGAUCUGAGCGGAAAGAGCGUUUCGCUGUUUCUGCUCGGAAAACUCAGUCGAACCUUAUCAUUUAGAGCAAGGAGAAGUCGUAACA